UCCGUUUGCCAAUAAGCAGUGAUCAGUUUCUUUUGGUUUCUUUUGUUUGUUUUUCUAUUGUUUACCUACUAUGUUAGAUGAUGACUUACCUCCAAAACGCUUUAAAACUUUCGUUUAUAAUAAAAUUCUAAGUGUGUUUAUAAUUAAAGAGCUACAGUGAAAUAAAAUGAAUUCUUCAAGAAAGGCAGCACCCAUGACAAAAGAUGAGACGAUGAUUCUAGCAGAACUUGUGGCGGCGAAAAAACAUUUCAAUAAUAAGGCAACAAAUGCCACAAACAAUAAAUUGAAGGAGCAGGCUUGGCAAACCCUUGUAAAUGAUUUUAAUUCGUCGAUUCGUCGUUUCCCACGAACUCCAUCGCAGCUUCGACUAAAAUGGGAAAACUUAAAGAACGCUACGGCAACAUAAGAAACAACCUUAGUAAGGCUGGAGGUGGUAAGGAUUGCAGAUGAAAUUUUGGAUAAAGCAUGCACAUUGUUGUAGGUCACAUAUAAUAUUUUUAACACUUUUACAGCCAAGCGGAAACAAGAUGGAAGAAAAGAAAUGCAAGGCUAGCAUAGGGACAAUGCAUUAGCAGAAUAUCUAAUAGCAAAAAAGAGACUUGACUUGGAAAAUAAAGAAAAGGAGAUUGUUGUAGCAAAAGUUAAGUUAGAUUUAGAUAAUUUAAAAAAUUAAAAAUUACUUAAAAGGAAUAUUAAAUUUCAUAAAUUAAGUAGGCAAUAAUAAUUUUAUGUUAGAUAGUUUUUUAAGUAUAUGUACAAAUUCUAAAUUAAAUAUCUUGCAUGUACUAACUACCAUGUAAUUAUCAUUUUGGAAAAUAAAAAAUAGUCAAAUUA